rnacentral:lncRNA from 1 species
AGAAAAGGGAGCAUCAUCAUUUUUCCCACCCCCACCACUCCAAACAAGUCAAAAUUGUCAGUGGUGGUCGAUCGUCAUCCACCGGCCACCUCCACUCCCACCUUUUUCCUCUCACCCCACUCCACCCCCAUUCCCACCUCCACCCAAACGAAACCAGAAAGCUAUUCACAACCACCAAAAUAGAUCUUUUCACCAUCAUCAUCACCAUUGUUGGUAACUACCCAUUUUCAAACUUCGAACUCAAUUCAAAAAAAUUCGAAAAUGCAUCCACUACCCAAUCCAAAAUAAUCCAAAAAUGCCUACAUGAGAUUUCAACAUUAAAUUCAACAACCUUACUCAAAAAAUCCUAAAAGUUGCUCCGAAGAUUGUACUCCAAGGCCCCAAUCUAGUGGCUAUGAAGAAACUGUGAACAUUCAAUGGUGAAUCCGUUUCUUGAAUCUCUAAGCUCCCAUUUCUUUGUUUGAGCACAGAAGAUAAUGGAAAAUUGAAUUCCACUGGAGCUAGGCAAAACUUUGAGGAAACUUGUACGACCACUGGUAACCAUUUAAUUGCUUCAAUUGACGUUCCAAUUAAGGGUGGUUGGCAGUUUGAUUUGGUGGGAUUGAGUGGUUGUUUGAUUGAUUGUAUUUCUUAUUUGGGUGGUGGUAGCGCCUACCUUUGAACGGCGAGGUUGAUGAUGUGCGGUGGCAAUGGUUGCUGCCUUUGGGCAACGGUGUUGACGUUGUGUGGGUGGUGAUGGUGUUCGGCCUUUGGGUGGCAACGUCGGCAGUCGGUGUGGGUGGGGAAGAGUAGAGUGGGAGAAAGAAGGGUUAAUUUUUAUUUUUUUGGUUUUUUA